AGCCGUGCGGUGCCCAGCUUAGCUCACGUUCACAGUUCUUUCAGCAGAUGUAGCCGUGGACAGCAGCCUGGUUACAGUGGGAUGUGCAGCUGGCCGACCCCCUCUAGCCAUCCUGCAAGUCACUGUGAACGCCCUCACGCUCCAACAGCAAAGCCACUGCUCAGAAAGAGGCUGGGCUCCUGCACACCUGCCAGCGAUGGCUACCCGUGUCCAUCCUGUUCACUGAAGGGGAGCGGCUCCUGGAGGGUGAAGCCGCUGUGGUUUGAGGGUGAAGCCACUGUCGUUUGAGCCCUCGGCCCGGACGCAGCUGAUGCACCAGCCACAGAAGCACGGAGGAGUCAAGAAUGGGAAGGACAGAAACGGUUCCUGACCUCGGGAGCUGGAGGUUGAGUGGGUUGGUCUAAAAACCAACUGAAUAGUAAAUGGGUGAAUUAGCAUAAUGACGAAUGCAUAUCGAUCAGUGUUUCAGAAAACUGCAUGCUUUUCAUCACCAGUUUUGAUUGAUGACGAGGUUAUGAACAGCCAUCGCUGGGUUUUUCCCAUAGAAGGAUGAAGACCGCUCUGACGGUGUGGCGCUCCCUCUAGUGGCUGAGAGUCGCUAACUCACCGGCGAGGCUUCCCAAGGCCGGAGGGCGGCUUCUCAAAAGUUUGUUCCAGAGAUGCCUCGUCACCCCUAACACCCUAGUAUACAAUCCAGGAGGCGAAAACUAUUUUGAUCAUACGGAUGAGACCGUGGCUGUAUUAAGAAUGUGUGUGUAAUCCACAGCGGUAUAACGAAAUUUGGAAUAUCUGCGUGACUCCAAACUACUAUUUUCCAAAUGACCGAUGCAUGAUGUUACAAAAUCACAAAUGGUAAAAGAUCCCUUCAAAGUGCAAGAGGGAUGAAGAUAUUUUAAUGUAACAGUGUGCAAAGUUCACUAGUGCAAUCUCAGAUUCCAGAUUGCGACGAAUCUUUAAGAAAUUAGAUUUUUAGUGUAGUGAAAAAGGCUAUUCACAAUUAUCUAGAAAGACUACUAAAAUUAUUCUCUCUUCUUCAACUACACAGCUGCUUGACACAGGUUUUCUUCAUGUAUUUCGAUCCAAAAUGGAAUCACAGCAGAUUAAAUGCAAAAGUACCUAUCCAGCCAUCUUAUCUGAAGCCAGACAUUAAAGAGAUUUGCAAAAAAUA
rnacentral:lncRNA from 1 species